rfam:Dipodomys ordii contig_29112, whole genome shotgun sequence.
GGGAAGGUAGCUCAGUGGUAGAGCGCUUGGCCUUGCAUGCCUGAGGCCCUGGGUUCGAUUCCUCAGCACCA